CCAACGGCCCUCUUUAGGGCCACAAUUGCGACAAGUACGAAUCUC
rfam:Heligmosomoides polygyrus genome assembly, scaffold: HPBE_scaffold0009668